GGGUUGUGAGGUUAAGCGACUAAGCGUACACGGUGGAUGCCCUGGCAGUCAGAGGCGAUGAAGGACGUGCUAAUCUGCGAUAAGCGUCGGUAAGGUGAUAUGAACCGUUAUAACCGGCGAUUUCCGAAUGGGGAAACCCAGUGUGAUUCGUCACACUAUCAUUAACUGAAUCCAUAGGUUAAUGAGGCGAACCGGGGGAACUGAAACAUCUAAGUACCCCGAGGAAAAGAAAUCAACCGAGAUUCCCCCAGUAGCGGCGAGCGAACGGGGAGCAGCCCAGAGCCUGAAUCAGUGUGUGUGUUAGUGGAAGCGUCUGGAAAGGCGCGCGAUACAGGGUGACAGCCCCGUACACAAAAAUGCACAUACUGUGAGCUCGAUGAGUAGGGCGGGACACGUGGUAUCCUGUCUGAAUAUGGGGGGACCAUCCUCCAAGGCUAAAUACUCCUGACUGACCGAUAGUGAACCAGUACCGUGAGGGAAAGGCGAAAAGAACCCCGGCGAGGGGAGUGAAAAAGAACCUGAAACCGUGUACGUACAAGCAGUGGGAGCACGCUUAGGCGUGUGACUGCGUACCUUUUGUAUAAUGGGUCAGCGACUUAUAUUCUGUAGCAAGGUUAACCGAAUAGGGGAGCCGAAGGGAAACCGAGUCUUAACUGGGCGUUAAGUUGCAGGGUAUAGACCCGAAACCCGGUGAUCUAGCCAUGGGCAGGUUGAAGGUUGGGUAACACUAACUGGAGGACCGAACCGACUAAUGUUGAAAAAUUAGCGGAUGACUUGUGGCUGGGGGUGAAAGGCCAAUCAAACCGGGAGAUAGCUGGUUCUCCCCGAAAGCUAUUUAGGUAGCGCCUCGUGAAUUCAUCUCCGGGGGUAGAGCACUGUUUCGGCAAGGGGGUCAUCCCGACUUACCAACCCGAUGCAAACUGCGAAUACCGGAGAAUGUUAUCACGGGAGACACACGGCGGGUGCUAACGUCCGUCGUGAAGAGGGAAACAACCCAGACCGCCAGCUAAGGUCCCAAAGUCAUGGUUAAGUGGGAAACGAUGUGGGAAGGCCCAGACAGCCAGGAUGUUGGCUUAGAAGCAGCCAUCAUUUAAAGAAAGCGUAAUAGCUCACUGGUCGAGUCGGCCUGCGCGGAAGAUGUAACGGGGCUAAACCAUGCACCGAAGCUGCGGCAGCGACGCUUAUGCGUUGUUGGGUAGGGGAGCGUUCUGUAAGCCUGCGAAGGUGUGCUGUGAGGCAUGCUGGAGGUAUCAGAAGUGCGAAUGCUGACAUAAGUAACGAUAAAGCGGGUGAAAAGCCCGCUCGCCGGAAGACCAAGGGUUCCUGUCCAACGUUAAUCGGGGCAGGGUGAGUCGACCCCUAAGGCGAGGCCGAAAGGCGUAGUCGAUGGGAAACAGGUUAAUAUUCCUGUACUUGGUGUUACUGCGAAGGGGGGACGGAGAAGGCUAUGUUGGCCGGGCGACGGUUGUCCCGGUUUAAGCGUGUAGGCUGGUUUUCCAGGCAAAUCCGGAAAAUCAAGGCUGAGGCGUGAUGACGAGGCACUACGGUGCUGAAGCAACAAAUGCCCUGCUUCCAGGAAAAGCCUCUAAGCAUCAGGUAACAUCAAAUCGUACCCCAAACCGACACAGGUGGUCAGGUAGAGAAUACCAAGGCGCUUGAGAGAACUCGGGUGAAGGAACUAGGCAAAAUGGUGCCGUAACUUCGGGAGAAGGCACGCUGAUAUGUAGGUGAAGUCCCUCGCGGAUGGAGCUGAAAUCAGUCGAAGAUACCAGCUGGCUGCAACUGUUUAUUAAAAACACAGCACUGUGCAAACACGAAAGUGGACGUAUACGGUGUGACGCCUGCCCGGUGCCGGAAGGUUAAUUGAUGGGGUCAGCGCAAGCGAAGCUCUUGAUCGAAGCCCCGGUAAACGGCGGCCGUAACUAUAACGGUCCUAAGGUAGCGAAAUUCCUUGUCGGGUAAGUUCCGACCUGCACGAAUGGCGUAAUGAUGGCCAGGCUGUCUCCACCCGAGACUCAGUGAAAUUGAACUCGCUGUGAAGAUGCAGUGUACCCGCGGCAAGACGGAAAGACCCCGUGAACCUUUACUAUAGCUUGACACUGAACAUUGAGCCUUGAUGUGUAGGAUAGGUGGGAGGCUUUGAAGUGUGGACGCCAGUCUGCAUGGAGCCGACCUUGAAAUACCACCCUUUAAUGUUUGAUGUUCUAACGUUGACCCGUAAUCCGGGUUGCGGACAGUGUCUGGUGGGUAGUUUGACUGGGGCGGUCUCCUCCUAAAGAGUAACGGAGGAGCACGAAGGUUGGCUAAUCCUGGUCGGACAUCAGGAGGUUAGUGCAAUGGCAUAAGCCAGCUUGACUGCGAGCGUGACGGCGCGAGCAGGUGCGAAAGCAGGUCAUAGUGAUCCGGUGGUUCUGAAUGGAAGGGCCAUCGCUCAACGGAUAAAAGGUACUCCGGGGAUAACAGGCUGAUACCGCCCAAGAGUUCAUAUCGACGGCGGUGUUUGGCACCUCGAUGUCGGCUCAUCACAUCCUGGGGCUGAAGUAGGUCCCAAGGGUAUGGCUGUUCGCCAUUUAAAGUGGUACGCGAGCUGGGUUUAGAACGUCGUGAGACAGUUCGGUCCCUAUCUGCCGUGGGCGCUGGAGAACUGAGGGGGGCUGCUCCUAGUACGAGAGGACCGGAGUGGACGCAUCACUGGUGUUCGGGUUGUCAUGCCAAUGGCACUGCCCGGUAGCUAAAUGCGGAAGAGAUAAGUGCUGAAAGCAUCUAAGCACGAAACUUGCCCCGAGAUGAGUUCUCCCUGACCCUUUAAGGGUCCUGAAGGAACGUUGAAGACGACGACGUUGAUAGGCCGGGUGUGUAAGCGCAGCGAUGCGUUGAGCUAACCGGUACUAAUGAACCGUGAGGCUUAACCUUACAACGCCGAAGGUGUUU
rnacentral:rRNA from 1 species